rnacentral:rRNA from 1 species
GAUGAACGCUGGCGGCGUGCCUAACACAUGCAAGUCGAGCGAUCUUCUUCGGAAGAGAGCGGCGGACGGGUGAGUAACGCGUGGGUAACCUGCCUCAUACACAUGGAUAACAUACCGAAAGGUAUGCUAAUACAAGAUGAUAUAAGAGAUUCGCAUGGAUUUCUUAUCAAAGCUCCGGCGGUAUGAGAUGGACCCGCGUCUGAUUAGCUAGCUGGUAAGGUAACGGCUUACCAAGGCGACGAUCAGUAGCCGACCUGAGAGGGUGAACGGCCAGAGUGGAACUGAGACACGGUCCAAACUCCUACGGGAGGCAGCAGUGGGGAAUAUUGCACAAUGGGCGAAAGCCUGAUGCAGCAACGCCACGUGAGCGAUGAAGGCCUUCGGGUCGUAAAGCUCUGUCCUCAAGGAAGAUAAUGACGGUACUUGAGGAGGAAGCCCCGGCUAACUACGUGCCAGCCGCCGCAGUAAGAC